rnacentral:lncRNA from 1 species
GGAAAGGAAGGGAAGAGAGGUCAAGGGUCAGAGGAAGAGAAGAGAAAGAAUCCAGCUCCUCUUAGGGACAACUACAUUAAAUUUGGGGCAAGAGGAUGGUACUUGGAGGAGACAACCGUGAGGAAAAGAGGCACCAGCUCUGAGGGCUUCGGAGAAGCGUUCACUUCUGAACAAGGGGCAGGCUGGGAACCCGCGAGAAUUAGGGAGGCCCAGAGACGACCAGGCGUUUCCGCAUUUGUGAUCUUUCAUUUAGAUCUCCCAGGAACAGCAAGUGGAUGGGAAAGAACCUUGACAACACAAAACUCAUUUACUAAUGGACUGGUUUUGGGUUUCUCUUCUCCGGGUCCGCAAAUCGCCCUGCCUGAGCCCUCGGCCUAUUCAGCGCUCGCGCGGAGCAGCGUCCUCAGGAGGCAGGUGGGCGCCGCCGCCGUCGGAGCACGGGUCCCAAGGGUCCCAAGGGUCGAGGGCACCUGGCGUUUCCCACUAAGUAGAGGAAAAAGAUCAACGUUGUCACUUCAGUCAGGAUUGGGGACGUCUCAGCGCUGCCCGAGCGACGACGCUAAUUUAUUGGAGAAACACCGGUCCCAAAGCCCUUCUUAUCCAAAUAUCUGUAGGUAGAGCAGAAUCCCCGCUGUCCUUCUCGAAGGCAAAGGAAUUCCAAGAAAGCGGGCCGGGAGCCUCAAAGCACCUCUCUUCAAGUCAGAAGGGAAACAAGUGGGUCCCAGAUAGAAGUUUUUGAACCAAGGCCUUCUGUCAACCCCAUCACCAACUGGUGCCUCCGCGUUGACUUUCUUUGUGCGCACCCAGCUGUUACCUGCACAGUAGAGGCACUGGCCAGCAGAAACCUGGCGUUGGGAGCCCCCUUCCAGCCGCGUUACCCUCGGGAGCCACGAAGCUGCGAGAGCAGCAGCUAGGGUUGCUCGUCGCCUUUAAAUUUCCGACGCAUCUCUGUUUUCUUGUGAUUUGCAUUGACAGCAAAAGGUUUUAAGUUACUAGAACGAGUCAAACCUUUCCGUGUGCGAUUUAAAAUGGAUCAUUUGGUUUAUGUGGUUUGUAAAUUCAUGUCAUUUUACCUCUUUUAGUGGUUUUCAGUGAAAGGUUCCAUUUUGGGAAACCUUAUAUAUCCGAGCCAAUAAUUAACAUUUAUAACAAUUGGUUCCCCUAACCAAGGGAUCGAAAUAGCAGGUAGGCUCGUUGGUACAAAGCGAAUAGCACUUUUCCUUUCUAGUCACACGAUCUACUGGAUUGAAUGCUAGGAGAAAGGCUGUCGGGCUGGGCAUGGCCUCCAAGGAAGAGUUCCACAUCUCAUCAACCCAGGUGCCUGCAUUUGGCGCAUCCACUAGGUCGUCUUCCCAGUUGUCAUCAACUUCUCAGUACUUCUUAGUUCCUUUUGAAGAGAGAUGAAAAGAAGUGGUCAGGAGGUCUGGAGGAAGCUGGGGAAAAGGUGGCAAUAUUGGUAUCUAAUUGUCAUUUCUCUGCUCCCCAUCAUUCCCUGCAAAUUUAUACCUGCUCUUAUUUGUCCAAGCUGUACCUCUUUCCUCGUAUGAAAAUUUUAAUUAUAGAGUACACCCCAUACUCAACAUACCAUUUGUCUUUUAAGAGACUGGUUGUACUUACA